UACGGGGGGGGCAAGCGUUGUUCGGAAUUACUGGGCGUAAAGGGCUCGUAGGUGGCCAACUAAGUCAGACGUGAAAUCCCUCGGCUUAACCGGGGAACUGCGUCUGAUACUGGAUGGCUUGAGUUUGGGAGAGGGAUGCGGAAUUCCAGGUGUAGCGGUGAAAUGCGUAGAUAUCUGGAGGAACACCGGUGGCGAAGGCGGCAUCCUGGACCAACACUGACACUGAGGAGCGAAAGCCAGGGGAGCAAAGCGGG
rnacentral:rRNA from 1 species